AGGUUAGACUCAUUAGAAUCAGACUUAAAAUACCUAUGAUUAAUAUGUUCAAAAAUAUAAUAAGGUGAAAAAUUGCAGCAGAGAACUAGAAACUAUAAAAUAUUAAAUAUUUAGAAUUUAAAAGUAAAAUAAACUAAGAACUCAACAGAUGCGUUUCACAGCAGAUUAAACACAGUUGAAUAAGAAAUUAGUUAACUGAAAGAAAAAUGAGAAGAAAAUGUCUAUACUGAAGAACAGAGACAAAAGGAUAGGAAAUGCAGAAAAGGGCAAAAGCAGCAUGUAUGGGUCACUAGGACAAGGUCUAGCAAAUGUAACUGAGUCCCAGAAAGAGAACUGAAAGAAAGAGAAUGAAGUAGAAGCAACGUUUGAAGACACAAUGGCUAAGAAUUUCCGAAACUGAGGAACAACUUAGACAAGAGUUAAGAUGUUCGUCAAACCCAUGGGAUUAUAAACAAACAAGCAAAACAAAAUAAAACAAAGAAACACAGAGAGUAUCUUGAUGAGGCCAGCCCCACGGCCUAGUGGCUAACUUUGGCGUGCUCGGCUUCUGCGGCCCAGGUUCUGUUUCUGGGCACGGACCUGCACCCCUCGGCAGCGGCCGUGCUAUAGCAGCAACCCUCAUUCAAAACAGAAGAAGACUGACACAGAUGUUAGCUCAGGGCGAAUCUUCCUCAACAAAACAAACAAAAAACAAAACAAGAGUGUGGUCUUGUAGGAAAUGAUGAUAAGGUGGUCUGAACUGAGGAGUAAGAUUCAAUCAACUGUCUCUCAAGUUUCCCAUCCCGUUACAGUUGUCGUUUCCAUACAUGUCAUUCUCUCAUUUAAAAAAACCCAGAAAACAAAGACAGCUCUUGAACCAACCAGAGAACACAAAAAAUGGGAAGCCAAAGUACAGAAGAAUAUAAGGGUAAAGAUUAUCUUGCACCCGCAUACUCCGCCUUUUCUCCUGUUUCGACAGACAGCCUCUCUCUGCUCCGAACUAAGGCCAAGCUCAGCAUUUGUGCACUACGUCCCAUCCCCUCUUACUGAAUUAGCCCUGAGCUAACAUCUGCUGCCAAUCCUCCUCUUUUGGCUGAGGAAGACUGGCCCUGAGCGCACAUCCGUGCCCAUCUUCCUCUACUUUAUGUGUGGGACGCCUACCACAGCAUGGCUUGCCAAGUGGUGCCAUGUCCGCACCAAGGAUCCGAACCAGCGAACCCCAUGCCGCUGAAGCGAAACAUGCGUACUUAACCACUGCACCACCGGGC
rnacentral:lncRNA from 1 species